GGGGGUGAAUGGUCUCGACUUCGGUCGUUCGACCAGGGGAAGCGAGCCGAGGAAGGCAACGAUGACCUCGUUAACCAUGCGUUGCGACACAACAAGUGCCGCUGAUAAGCGCACUGACUACGCUCUCGCUGCCUGAUCGCAGCUAGGCGUGUCUGUCAGCCCGGGUUCGUCAUCGGCCCGGAAUCUGGCAUCAGCUAGAUGACUCACCGUGCGUGCCGGUCGCGGGUACGUGCGGGACACCUCACAGCGACUGGGCCCGUCACACCGACCCGUCCGUGGGAUCGGUGGGGCCGAGCAGAGACACAGCGGACUGCGCUCGGAGAAGCCCUGGUUCUGCGUCGAAGGACGCGGGUUCGAUUCCCGCCACCUCCACCC
rnacentral:tmRNA from 1 species